rnacentral:lncRNA from 1 species
UAAUUAGGCUAUAAAUAGAGAUGUUUUCAAAUGUUGAAGGACUUUUGCCUCUUUUAUCAUUUUCAUAAUCUCAACAAAAGAAAAAAGAAAGCUUCCAAUCUCAUUUUAUCUCCAUUACUUUCUACACCAAAAUUGGGUCCCACAACCCGGUUCUUUGUCUAGAGGAUAGCAGUUGAGUACUAGUGGUGGUCUCGGGUAGAAUUGGUAAGAAGACAUCAAACCUUUUGAAAGCUUCAAAGGUAAUACUUCUUAAAACCCUAAUUUGAUUAGUUUAUGGUUACAUGUUAAUUGUGGCAAUUAGGGUAGAAAUUCGAUUCUUUUUCCGCUGUGCAUGACUUAGUUCUAUCAUGUGGUAUCAGAGCAUGCUUCAUUUUUACCCAAUUGCAUGUGGUGGGUUCAUAUUUAUUAGAUAAAUUUUGGUUUGAACUAAAAUGGAUAUAUUAUGAUUUUGGCUCUAGAUUAAGUGUUUUUGUUCUAAUUAUUGUAAUUAGCCUUGUUAAUGGCUUAUUUUUAUUGUUGCAAAGUGUUUGUAAUUUUUUAAAAAAUAAAAAAAGUCAUUAGAGUUGAAGCUAGGCUGUAAUUGGUUCAACCGGGUGAGAGAAUUGAAAAAAAUGAAGAAAAGAAGGUCACAGACCCGAAAACCCGGUUUUGACCCGCUUCGCGACCCGCACGCGCGCCCUGCGCCGCGCGCCCUCCUGCGCCGCCGCGCCCUCCUGCGCCCCCGCGCCCUCCUGCGCCCCCGCGCCCCCCUGCGCCCGCGCGCCUGCAUGCGCCCGCGCGCCCGCAUGUGUCCGCGCGCGCCGCAUGCGCCCGCGCGCCGCCUUCGCCCGCGCGCCUGCCUUCGCACGACCCGUGUGCGCCUGGGCCGGUUCAAGCCAAUAAAUUUGGUUUUUGGGCCGGUUCAAGCGGUUCGGUUGGUUUUUUAGCCGGUUCGAAAUUUUUGGGAGUGGUUCUGUACUACACCAAAUUAAUUAUGUAAUAAUUUAGCACUUAGCUUAAUUUAGGAGCCAAAAAUCAGUCCAUUUUAGGGUGUUUUUUUUAUUUAUGCAUGUGAUGUAUGAUUAAAUUACUUUAAAUUUGUAUGUGCAUUUUGAAUGUCAUAUAGAUUUAAAAUCCCACCAUAGGUUAACAUGUUCAUGCAUUAAAAUGUAUGAUAUAAAGGUUAUAUUGUAUUGUAUGCAUGUUAAUUGAUUAAUAUGGAAAUUAAUUAAUAUGAUUAAUUAAUUAUUUAAUUAAUUAAGUUAUUCUUGAUUAAAUAUGAUUUAAUCAAAUUAAUUAAUUAUUGUUUGAUUUAAUUUAAUUAAAUAUGAUUUAAUUAAAGUUAAAUAAAUUAAAAUCCAUAUUAAUUGAUUGUUUUUAUUAUAUAUUGAUAAAAUGAUUGAUUAAGUUUAAAAGUUUUUAUAAGUGUUAUAAAAUAAAUUAGACUUUUAAAAUCAAUAACAAAGAUUAAAUGCAUGCUCACUUAGGUUAAACAUAUCUUCCAUUUUUCAUAGAAAUAGGUCGAUAUCUUGUAAAACUGGUUACAAAAGGCUCACCUGGUUCAAUCUUGUCAACAAGUCAGAUAAGAUGACUAAGGUUGGAGGUUCUUAAGUUGACGGUUUACGGAACACCUCCUACCUGGAGAUCGUAAUCAGUUCUUGAGCCUAGUUAACCUAGUUUUAUGAGCAUUCGUGAGAGGUGUGAGGUAAUAAAAAUGGUUUUUCACCUAGACAUCAUAGGUUAAAAUCCUGUAUAAUGGUUAUACUUGGAUGUUUUAUCUAGACUUAAGAUUUGUUUAAGUUAGCCUAAAUAUAAAUCUUGAAGUUUGGAUUACCCUAUUUUUUUCUUUUAGAACACUUCAACUAGAGAAAAAUAAUGUAUUUUAGCUCUAGUGUCCCUAAGAGUUCACACCGUGAGGUCCAUGCAGGGCUUUGUGCCGUGCAUAGGAGCGGCCUCCCUUCGGAGAGUGUUUGCAUGGAUCAAAAUCAAGGUGAAUAGGGGAAGUAGUUCAUAGUAAGUGGGUGAGGGAUUUGUGGCAGCACAUCCCACGGUCUCUUCCAUUAGGUCGCACCGUGAGAUUUCUAUAAUAUGCCUGCUUGUCUGCCCUGGAGCGACGUUCCCUUCGGAGGGUUGUAUUAUAGGAUUCGGAAACACCGCGAACUCCAAAACUGGAUAGGAUUUCUUAGAUUAGUUUUCAUAAAUGAUUCUAAUCUAUAAAAUCUGAAAAUGGUGGGUAACACUUACAAGAAUUACUAAGUUGUUAGUAUAUUCUUGACUAAAGUAGCGAUAACUAAGUGCUAUAAAGAAUAAAGAGUUAUUCUUGAGAUAGCAUCUAGUCAAGAUUGUCUUGGUUCAAAGGAGGAAUAAUCAACUACCCUUCGGAGAAGGUUGUUCUAAACCUUUGAAAUAUUGUUGCAAAAUACAAAUAAUGAAAGGGUACAUUAUUAGUAAUUGCUAAAUUAGAUUGGAUAUUUUUUAUGAUUAUAGUUUUUUCUUAAAAAGAAUAUGUUUGUUUUUCAGCAUGAAUAGCUCAAUAGUUCAACUUUUAGCUUCCGAAAAACUUAAUGGCGAUAAUUAUGCGGCUUGGAAAUCAAAUCUUAACACAAUACUAGUGGUUGACGAUUUAAGAUUUGUCUUAACUGAGGAAUGUCCUCAAAACCCUGCCUCUAAUGCUAACCGAACUAGUCGGGAUGCAUAUGAUCGAUGGAUAAAAGCUAAUGAAAAAGCCCGUGUUUACAUUCUUGCCAGCAUGUCUGAUGUAUUGGCAAAGAAACAUGAAUCCUUAGCCACGGCUAAAGAGAUUAUGGAUUCAUUAAGGGGAAUGUUUGGGCAACCAGAAUGGUCCUUAAGACACGAGGCAGUCAAAUACAUUUACACUAAGCGUAUGAAGGAAGGGACCUCUGUUAGAGAACAUGUUCUGGACAUGAUGAUGCACUUCAACAUCGCUGAAGUGAAUGGUGGUCCCAUCGAAGAGGUUAAUCAAGUUAGUUUUAUCUUAGAGUCUCUUCCGAAGAGCUUCAUUCCAUUCCAAACGAAUGCGUCUUUGAACAAGAUAGAAUUUAACUUGACAACCCUUCUGAAUGAACUCCAGCGAUUCCAAAACCUAACUAUGGGUAAAGGAAAACAAGUGGAAGCAAAUGUUGCUACCACAAAAAGAAAAUUUAUAAGAGGAUCGUCCUCUAAAACCAAAGCUGGACCCUCAAAACCUAAUGCUCAAAUAAAAAAGAAGGGAAAGGGAAAGACUCCCAAACAGAACAAGGGUAAGAAAGCUGCAGAAAAAGGUAAGUGUUACCAUUGUGGCCAAAACGGGCACUGGUUAAGAAACUGCCCAAAAUACCUUGCAGAAAAAAAGGCAGAGAAGGAAACACAAGGUAAAUAUGAUUUACUAGUUGUAGAAACAUGUUUAGUGGAAUAUGAAAAUUCUACCUGGAUACUAGAUUCAGGAGCCACUAACCAUAUUUGCUUCUCAUUUCAGGAAAAUAGUUCUUGGAAAAAGCUUUCAGAAGGUGAGAUCACUCUCAAGGUUGGAACAGGAGAGAUGGUCUCAGCUUCAGCAGUGGGAGUUUUAAAGUUGUUUUUUAGAGAUAGAUAUGUCAUACUUAAGAAUGUCUUAUAUGUACCUCAAAUGAAAAGAAAUUUAAUAUCUAUCUCUUGUAUUUUGGAACAAAUGUAUAGAAUAUCUUUUGAAAUUAAUGAAGCGUUCGUUUUCUAUAAAGGUAUUCUAGUUUGUUCUGCUAUACUUGAAGACAACUUAUAUAAGUUAAGACCAACUAGAGCAAAUUUUGUCUUAAAUACUGAAAUAUUCAGAACAGCUGAAAACUCAGAAUAAAAGACAAAAAGUUUCUUCUAAUGCCUAUUUAUGGCACUUAAGACUUGGUCACAUAAAUCUCAAUAGGAUUGGGAGAUUGGUUAAAAGUGGGCUUCUAAGUCCGUUAGAAGAUAACUCUUUACCUCCUUGUGAAUCUUGUCUUGAAGGAAAAAUGACCAAGAGAUCUUUUACUGGAAAAGGUCUAAGAGCCAAAGGACCCUUAGAGCUCGUACAUUCGGACCUUUGUGGACCAAUGAAUGUCAAAACUCGAGGUGGAUAUGAAUAUUUCAUUAGCUUCAUUGAUGAUUAUUCAAGGUAUGGUCAUAUUUACCUAAUACAUCAUAAGUCUAAUAGUCUUGAAAAGUUCAAAGAAUAUAAGGCUGAAGUAGAAAACGAAUUAGGUAAAACAAUAAAAAUACUUCGAUCAGAUCGAGGUGGAGAGUAUAUGGACUUACGAUUCCGAGACUAUUUAAUAGAAAAUGGAAUCCAGUCACAACUCUCUGCACCUAGUACACCUCAACAGAACGGUGUAUCAGAAAGAAGAAACUGGACCUUGUUAGACAUGGUUCGCUCUAUGAUGAGUUUUUCUCAGAUGUCAGAUUCUUUUUGGGGAUAUGCUUUAGAAACAGCUGCUUAUAUUUUGAAUAAUGUUCCCUCUAAAAGUGUUUCAGAAACACCUUAUGAGCUAUGGAAAGGGCGUAAAGGCAGUUUACGUCAUUUUAAAAUUUGGGGUUGUCCAGCACAUGUGUUGGUACAAAAUCCAAAGAAAUUGGAACAUCGUUCAAAAUUAUGCUUUUUUAUAGGUUAUCCAAAAGAAUCAAGAGGUGGUUUGUUUUAUGAUCCUCAAGAAAAUAAAAUACCACAUCAGGGAUCAUCAACCUCGUAGUAAACUAGUAUUUAAAGAAAUUUCCAAAAGUGCUAUAGAUAAAACCUAGUUCAUCCACUAAAGUAGUUGAUAAGACUAGGAAAUCUGGUCAAUCACAUCCUUCUCAACAGUUGAGAGAGCCUCGACGUAGUGGGAGGGUUGUUCAUCAGCCUGAUCGCUAUUUGGGUUUAAUUGAAACUCAAGUCGUCAUACCUGACGAUGGCAUAGAGGAUCCAUUAACCUAUAAACAGGCAAUGAAAGAUGUAGAUCGUGACCAAUGGAUCAAAGCCAUGGACCUCGAAAUGGAGUCUAUGUACUUUAAUUCUUUCUAGACUCUAGUAGAUCAACCAAAUGACGUAAAACCUAUUGGUUGUAAAUGGAUCUACAAGAGAAAACGAGACCAUGCCGGUAAAGUACAGACUUUUAAGGCUCGACUUGUGGCAAAGGGUUAUACCUAGAGAGAGGGAGUAGACUAGAGGAAACUUUCUCUCCCGUUGCCAUGUUAAAGUCAAUUAGAAUACUCUUAUCCAUCGCCACUUUUUAUGAUUAUGAAAUUUGGCAGAUGGAUGUCAAGACAGCUUUUUUGAACGGUAAUCUUGAAGAGAGCAUCUAUAUGUCUCAACCAGAGGGGUUUAUAAAACAAGAUCAAGAACAAAAGGUUUGUAAGCUUAAAAAAUCCAUUUAUGGAUUAAAACAAGCUUCUAGAUCCUGGAAUAUAAGAUUUGAUAUUGCGAUCAAAAUCUUAUGGCUUUGAACAAAAUGUUGACGAGCCUUGUGUUUACAAAAGGUCGUCAAUUCCAUUAUAGCAUUUUUUAGUCUUAUAUGUAGAUGAUAUUCUACUUAUUGGAAAUGACUAGGAUAUCUUCCUGAUAUCAAGAAAUGGCUAGCUAUGCAAUUUCAAAUGAAAGAUCUGGGAGAUGCACAAUACGUUCUCGGAAUCCAAAUUGUUCGAAACCGUAAGAACAAAACACUAGCCAUGUCUCAAGCAUCUUACAUAGACAAAAUGUUGUCUAGAUAUAAAAUGCAGAAUUCCAAAAAGGGUCUGCUGCCGUACAGAUAUGGAAUUCAUUUGUCAAAGGAACAAUGUCCUAAGACACCUCAAGAAGUUGAGGAUAUGAGAAAUAUUCCCUAUGCUUCCGCUGUUGGAAGUUUAAUGUAUGCAAUGUUAUGUACUAGACCUGACAUUUGCUACUCAGUAGGGAUGGUCAGUAGGUAUCAAUCCAAUCAUGGACGUGAUCACUGGACAGCCGUUAAAAACAUUCUACAUGCUCAUGUAUCGUACAAAGGAUGAUCCUUACUGGAUACACUGAUUCGGAUUUCCAAACUAAUAAAGAUGUUAGAAAGUCUACAUCAGAAUCAGUAUUUACUCUAAAUGGAGGAGCAGUAGUUUGGAGAAGCAUAAAGCAAACUUGUAUAGCUGAUUCCACAAUGGAAGCUGAUCAUUUUACAAAAGCCCUCACGGCUAAAGUGUUUGAGGGUCACCUACACAGUUUAGGUGUACGAUGUUUGUAAACUAGGACAAGUGGGAGACUUAUUGGCCAUGUGCCCUAGUUUCAUAUAUAUUUCUCUCACACCACAUCUCUCAUACCACUAGGAAUUUUAGUCCAAGUGGGAGUUUGUUGGAAUUUUUUGUCCUAAAACUCGUAGUUUGUAAAUCAUAUUCUAUUCAAUAAAGUUGUUAUUGAGAAAUUAAAUAUUAUAAUCUUAAAUCCAAUAAAUCAAAGUUCCAAGGCUAUUUUUUGAAUAAACUUGAACUUUAUGUGUAAACAUAAACGUGGAUCAAGUUCGAGUAUAUAGCCUAAAUAGUCUAUAGUAUAUGAAAUAAAGGUUGGGCGCCUUAUUUUGAGAGACUAUGGAUGCGGCCCACUUUGUAGUACAAACGAUGUGAUCCUAAUCGUUCAUGUAGAGACAUGAAAGUGGGGGCAUCCUAUGUAAAAUGUUUACAUAAGACUGAACCAUGAAUUAGUCAUUUUUACGUUAUAACACCGUUUACUGUUUAAAACUGACUAUCUCAAUUAUUGAUGACCUAGGUAACUUAGUCUUAAUCCUGAGUUAACUAUGAACUCCUGUUCAUACGAGAUUAUCCUUAGAUCUGCAUAGGUGAGGGCAGCUCAUCAGCGUUGGCCCAAUAAGCCUCCCAUUUCAGGGGUAAGAUCGGGUGGAUAGCUGGGAACAUAGGGUACAAGAUGGAAUUCACUCCUACCCGCUUUAGGGUUAGUAGAUAGGUUGCUCUCUUAAGCACUGAAUCCAAGUCUUGAACAAGGGGCCCCACCCUCUCAUUGGCCCGAGAGGGAUUAAGUUUAUAGGUUGAACCUUAAACCAAUUGUUCAAUAGUGGAUUAGUGGGACUUAAGGAGCAAGAUGUAAUCUUGGGGGUAAAACGGUAUUUUGACCCAGCCAAGGUUACGAGCAACCUGUGAAGGAUUAACUUACUGAUUAUGGUUUUAUCAAAUGGACACAAAUAUAUCUAUAGUGAGGGGAGUGCAACUACGGGACUUUAGUGGAAUGACCCGUUAGUUAACGAAUGUUGAUUAACUCGGUUUAAAAGAGUUUAGCUAGUUAAUCUUGAAUCGUUGGAGCCCAUGAUCUAUAGGUCCAUUAGGUUCCUCUGCUAGCUCAUAUGGAUUAAACUUAGAACAGUGUGAUGAAAUAAGUCGAAUUGUUCGAAUAGGGAGAAGAAAGGAAAACCGACAUAUACAGUGAUAUAAUCGUCGGUCUUCUAAUUAGAAAUAGAGCUUUAUGUUUUACAUACUAUAAGUAUGAAUGCGGAUUCAUACUAAGAAGCUCGGAAUUGGUCAAAAAUAGUAAAAAGUCAAAAUGUUGACUUUUGACUUUGAAAAGUCAAACUUUGACCGGCCUUAUAUUCAAAUGUGAUUUGAAUUUUGGAAAAAUGAAUGCGGAUUCAUGCUCGGGAGGUUGGAAUUAGUCAAGACGGACAAAAUGGUAAAAAGUCAAAAUAUUGACUUUUGACUUAGAAAAGUCAAAGUUUGACUUUUGACUAGAAAAAUCUAAUGACCAUUUUACCCUUGGACUAAGUUAGUGGGAAAAUCCAACAUUUUGUUGGAUAAUCCCACUAACUCUUAGUGGGAUAUGUGGCUAUAUGAGAUAUAGACACCUAGCCCACUAAGUUCCACUAAUUGUUAGUGGAAUAUUAGGUGUUGAGAUUUGGCAAUUGAAUUGCAUGCAUUUUUGCAUGUAAUUAGGCUAUAAAUAGAGAUGUUUUCAAAUGUUGAAGGACUUUUGCCUCUUUUAUCAUUUUCAUAAUCUCAACAAAAGAAAAAAGAAAGCUUCCAAUCUCAUUUUAUCUCCAUUACUUUCUACACCAAAAUUGGGUCCCACAACCCGGUUCUUUGUCUAGAGGAUAGCAGUUGAGUACUAGUGGUGGUCUCGGGUAGAAUUGGUAAGAAGACAUCAAACCUUUUGAAAGCUUCAAAGGUAAUACUUCUUAAAACCCUAAUUUGAUUAGUUUAUGGUUAGAUGUUAAUUAUGGCAAUUAGGGUAGAAAUUCGAUUCUUUUUCCGCUGUGCAUGACUUAGUUCUAUCAUUUAUCACCUUUUCUCCAGAAUAUCCAGAAAGAUUUGCUUCCUGACGUAUAUCUUCCUUGUUCUCUACCUUUUGCAAGAUUCGUAUCAUUUGUGUUAAUCCCUUCGACUCACAUAAAUCCAUCUUCGCGUAGAUCCAUAGUUUCAAUCCCGACAUAAAUGUCUCUUUUACCACCUUCUCUAAUAGGUCCGACAAAGGAGCUACCCACUUAUCGAAUAAAUUUUUAUAUUCCUCUAUCGUUGUCUUUUGUUGAAUUUGCAAGAACCUUACAUACAGCGAUUCCUCCCUAACGGAUCGAAAUCGCACCAAUAAUCUUUCCUUCAUAUUCACCCAAUCUACAAAGUUCUCUCGUUCUUCUUGAGAACGGUAAAAGUUCAAUGCUAGUCCCUUAAAACUAAUAGUGGAUACAGUCAUUUUCUCAAAUUCAGUAAGUUUAUGAAUGUGCAAAUACCUCUCUACGCGAAACAGCCAAGAAUCAGGAUCAUCUCCAUUGAAUAUCGACAUCUCCACCUUCUUAAACUUAUUGCAGUCACUAUUACUUUCAUCAUCUAUUUUCUUUCCUUCCUUCCUUGUUUCGUUAUCCCAUCUUGGUCACCCUUCGCCUUCGUCCACAUUCUUCGUCGAUGAAUUGUGCAUUGUUGUCGAUUCCAUAAUUCGUAACAUCAUCUGAUUCUACCUCUCCAUAUUUUUGGAUAGUUUGGCCAACGUCUUUUCGAUCACCAGUAUCUUACUAAUCUCUUUCUUAAUGUUCUGUAUUUCCUGGUCAAACGUCUCCAUCUCUUCGAUCCGAGUCUGAACCAUUUGCAUUCUUCUUGCCCAAGAUCAAUGCUCUAAUACCAAUUUGAUGGAAACCAGUCUUGGAAUAAAAUUGCUACUAUAUUAUUAAUGAUAGAAUAGGAAUGAAAUCCUAAUUACAAUAUGAAAUCCCUCUCCUGUUAUCCUCUCUCUCAAGGAAGAAUAGAAAUUCACUUUCUCAAACAAAACCUAACUUUCUCGCCCACGAUUACUUUUUAUUUAUACUAACAAUAAGGUAACUAACCCUUCCCUUUACUAACCCUCACAUGCUAUUCAUGUGCACGUGAUAUUUUUUUUUUAAUUUCUUUAUCCCUCUUCUGCUGUACAGAUGUAAUAUAGGGGGUCUAUCAGAUUCCUCCUCUUUUCAAAGCCUCCAAUCAAACUCAAUGCUAAGUUUGACUGCUCCCUUCAGAGUGACGACCCUCAUUUUCCCCCUUCCGUGGUUUGGGGAUGAUUCCUCCUCUUUUUAAAGCCCUCAAUCAAACUUGAUGCUAUGUUUAGAACGCUAAGAAUAGGUGGUUUAGUUUUGGUUAGGCCAAAAGUGAAAUUUUCCCCCACAAGCACUACUAGUUAGGGAACUCAACACAUUCUACUUGACUUAAUCGACUUGACUCUCUAAUUUUUAUGAGCUUUUUUCAAUGCAUAUUGCAUAUGUUUUUUUUAUAGUUGUUGAUUGUCUCACAUUUUUAUGGUUUGCAUUCACAAGCCCCUUUUUUCUUUCUUUGGUAUGAAAUAUGGUAAUAGGCCUUGCUAGAACCGAUGGGGUAAUCUCUCUAUGGUUCUACACUUAGUUUCAAAGUUUGAUUACUCCCUUCAAAGUGACAACAAGCCUCGUUUUCCCCUAUUGUGGAUCAGAGAGGAUUCCUCAUCUUUUCAAAGCCCACAAUCAAACUCAAUUAGAGUAAAAAGGAAAAAUUUUCAUCUCGGGCGCGUGUACCUCACACGCAUCUCUCUAGGAUUUCCAAGUUCUCUCACUCGGCUGGUGAAGGAGGCGAACGGUUGGUGAGUGCUGCGGCCAGCAAGGGAUCAAAUUCGAAGGUAAUUCGUUCAAUUUUGGCAGAUUGAAUGUGAAAACUAAUGUCAUUUGGUAUCCAUUUCGAAAUUGAUUACAAUUGAUCAAUUGAACCAUUACGAAUGAUAUUCGUUUUGAUUCGGGAGAAUUAACGUUUGUCCCGAAAUUGUUUAAAUCGGUUUCCAAGCUGAAUUGAUUUGAACUAUCUUGAAAGUAUUGCGUGUGGUACAAAAUCAAUUUAUUGGCUAUCAGUUCUGGGUUUGGAGACUGUGAUUUAAUUCACUCGCUGGAGGGAUCUCGCAUUAAUCUCCUCGGUUGAAUUUCAAUUCUUUUUUAGUUCAUUCAUGUUCCCAAAUUGGGCCGAAAAGAUCAUCACGGGUGUUGGGUUGAUGUCUUAAGCAUGAAACAAUGAAGAAAUUAUCCAGUGACAUUGAGGAGGUGAAGAAACGCGUGAUGUCAAGCCUUCAACGCGUACAUGAUAUGACGGCGAACGACCGAAGGGCGGCGACUGCAAAGGCUGACCUAAUUUCUGUGAGGAAGAAAUGGUCGGACAUGAGUGGACCCAAACCGGUUUACGUGAACCGUGAAACAUAUAGAAAUCGAAAUACAGGAAAUGGACCGAGCGGAGAUGGUCCCAUUAAGAUUGUUGGCCCAAAGGCGUGUGGACCGAUUGUUUCGAAUGAAAACUUGAUGAAGCCUAGUGAGCCGAUAAAGGGGUGAAGCCGAAUGGCGUGUUCACAUUUACGAAUGGAAUUGGUCAUGGAUCUCUGGUUGAUGGGCCAUCGUUGAAUGAUGGGCCGUCCAUCUCACACGAAAUUGGGAUCUCACAGAAGGAGUGCUUACCUGCUGGUGCUUCAUGUGUUCAGCAUGUUGGGCAAAUUGCAGCGACCGAAGGAUAUGGACCUCGACUGGAUGCUAUUGCAAGUGCCCCAAAGAUUGGGCCGGGUGAUGGGCAUUUGAAUGAUAGGCCAGCCAUUAGAGAACCGUUUGGUACUAAUUCCAAUGGUAGGCCGCCUGUUUCGAUUCGUGGGCAUGAGGUGCAGAAAUCUAAUAAUUCUAGAGGUGCAGGCAACAAGAGGUUUCUCUAUGACCUAUACACCUCUGACUACCGUGGGAGAGAAAAUUGUGGUGACCCCGUUUGAAGAAGUUAUUAGUUAAGGAGUUAGAGUGUGGGAGAACUCCCUCGUCAGCCAAUUAAUUGAUGCAAAAUUGCUGUAUCUAGUCAUCUAUCGUCUUAUAGAGAAGAUUUGGGGUAGAAUUGAAAUGCCAACAAUUACUCUGAUGGAGAAUGGGCUCAUCUGCUUUCAAUUCAAACAUUUAAAGUCAAUACAGUGGAUCUUAUCCCGUGGCCCAUGGCACCUUGGAGGCAAACCUAUGCUCCUCCGCAAAUGGACUCCAGGUAUAGUUCCUGAAUCCUUCGUCUUUGAUUUAGUUCCUGUUUGGAUAAAGUUAGGGAGGAUUCCGUUGGACCUAUAGAUGGAUGCUGGUUUGGCUGUGGUAGCGAGUGCAAUAGGAAAACCUCUUUUAGUUGAUCUUGCUACUAAAGAGAGGCGUCGUCUUUCUUAUGGCCGUAUAUGUGUGGAAUUGAAUGUGGACAAUAUUAUGCCUGCCGAAGUAACAGUCAUCCUUAGAGGAGAGGAAUUUAUUGUAACUGCCACUUAUGAGUGGAAAUCGAAAAAAUGUAACUUGUGUAGAUCUUUUGGACACUUGCAGAACACCUGCCCUAAGAAAAGAGGCAAUGAAUAUAGUAAAAAGGAAGCUGCAAGUAAAGAGGUUCCUGUUAAAGAGGUUGUUCCUACUAAAGAGGUGGUUCCAGAUUGUGGGGAGUAUGGAGAUGUUGUGUUGGAAUCCUUCCAACACAUGGAAGAAGGAGAAAUUAUUACCCAUAAACUUCCUGAAAAGGUGGAGGUGAAUCAGGAGGAAUUUACCCUAGUUGACAGGAAAAAUAGGGGAAUGAUCUCAAUUCGGGACAGAGGGAUAAGGGCAGAAGUGAGUAUCACUAACUCCUUUAAGAACCUCAUGGAGGUGGAUAAAGGAGAUAAAUGGCUUUUAUCUAUAGUGGAUGGCUCCCCUCCUCCCUUACGAGUAGAUGACUCUUCUAUGGUCCUUUUGAGUACUACAGGUGAUGUAAUUCCUAUGGGAGAGGCGGCUUCCAUAUGACCUCAUGGUUAGUUGGUGUACGUGGAACGUGCGGGGCCUUAAGAGCCCUGUAAAGUGUAGAGCGGUGAAGGACCGGGUAUGGUCUUGGGUGAUUUUAACACCAUCAGACUCCACUCUGAAGCCUUUGGGGGUGCUCCGAACGUGGUGGAUAUGGAGGAGUUUGAACGUGGUGGAUAUGGAGGAGUUUGAAUAGUCUCCCACGAUAUGGAGGAGUUUGGUUCCAUGGAUUCAGGGUGGGCCGAUUAUCCAGCAGUUUGGGGAGAGGGUGAUCUAUGAUGCGGGUAGUCGGUGGGAUGCGAGGCUGGUGGAUUUCAUGGGUCGGGAUGGUGAUUGGAGGUGGCCACUUGUUUAUUUGGAUUUGAUGGACAUUUGGGAUAGGGUUCAGGGAGUGAGGCUGAGUCCGAGUGUUGAGGAUAGGUGGGUUUGGGUGCCGGGGAGUCAUGAUAGUUUUUCGAUCACCAGUGCGUGGGAGACUAUUCGUCCUCAUAGUAGUAGAGUUGGCUGGUCGGGUUUACUAUGGGGUGGGGGAAAUAUUCCUAAGCACUCCUUUUGUGCUUGGUUGGCCAUCAGGGAUAGGUUGGGUACUAGAGGUAGGUUAAGUCGGUGGGAUAGGUCGAUUCCUUUAUCGUGUUUGCUUUGUGGAGGGAACUAUGAGUCUCGUGAUCAUUUGUUUUUUUCUUGUCAUUUUGGGUGGGAGAUUUGGUCGAGGAUCCUUUUGCUUAAGUCAUCUUCUCAUAGAACCGGUUAUUGGGGGGUUGAGUUAUCUUGGAUUUAUAAUCAGGGUAUUGGGAAGAGUGUGAGGAGAAAACUGUGGCGCCUUCUCUGGUGUGCUACAAUUUAUUUCAUUUGGCAGGAGCGAAAUCAUCGUCUUCAUGGAGGUUCUAUUCGGGAGCCUCUGGUUGUAUUCCAGCUCAUUCGGUCGUGUAUUAAAGUGCGUGCUGCUUCUUGGUCGGAUGGUGUUCAUGGUCUUAUUUAAUGUUCUUUUCGUUUGCUUGUCCCCGGGCUGUGGGGUUUCUCUUCUCUUUAUUAACUUUGUUGUCUUUCUCUCUUCUUCUUGUCCUUUUAAUGUUUGGAGCACUAGUUGGUUUCUUUUGGUUUUAGUUAUUGUUCCCGAGAUGUGGGGUUGUUUUGGGUACUUAUGGGUUGUUUUGUCUAACUACUUGUUCUGUGAGUGUUGUUCGCUCUUUUGUCUUGACCUCAGGCUGUGGGGUCCACAUUGUUGUUGUAUAAUAUUAUCAUUACCUUUUCAAAAAAAAAAAAAAUCAAACUCAAUGCUAAGUUUGACUGCUCCCUUCGAAGUGACAACAAGCCUCGUUUUCGCCCUACUGUGGAUCGAGGAGGAUUCCUCCUCUUUUCAAAGCCCUCAAUCAAACUUGACGUUAUGUUUAAAACACUAAAAAUAGAUGGUCUAGUUUUGGUUAGGCCAAAAGCGAUGUUUUCCCCCAAAAGCUCUAAUUGCUAGGGAACUCAACAUGUUCUACUUGACCUAACCGACUUGACUCUGCAUUUGUUAUGAGCUUUUUUUAAUGCAUAUUGCAUAUGUUUUUUUUAUAACUGUUGAUUGUCUCACUUUUGUAUGGUAUGCAUUUACGAGCCUCUUUUCUUUCUUUGUUAUGAACUGCGGUAACUAGGCAUUGCUAGAACCGAUGGGGUAACAUUUCUAUGGUUCUACACUUAGUUUCUAAGUGUGAUUGCUUACCUCUAAUUUUCAAAACACUUCAUUUCUAAGCACAUACAAUACUCACCUAGAAAAAAAUGAAAAUUGUUGUAGUUAAGAUCAAAACUAAAUAAUUAUGAAAUAAGACAUAAGAGAUUUGAUUUUAACAACCUUCCCGUUGUACUUGGGAUCCACUCUGGCUUUGUGCUGGAAAAUUGGUUUGGAGCUGAUCGUAAGCUUUCGGUUGCUCUUCUAUAACCUUUAGAUACUCUUCAAAGCUAUAAGCUUUGCUUCCUGACGAAGAAUCUUCUACUAUUACAAUACAUAAGAAAAUUAUAUUUCAUAAACCCUGUAUCAUAUUUUAUAGAAUGAUUAUUCUAUAACCCUACCGAUAGUUUCAUUCUUAACAUUCAUAGACACGAUGCAUUGCAGCUAUCCAAUUCUAUUUCAUGUUCUCGAGAAUGGCUCGGUUUAACAAUAAUGUUAAUUUUUGUUUUCUAUUUUAAAAUAAUAACGCUGCUUACUAAUCUUUUUUUUUUUUCAUUUGGCAUUCUACUUUUUCUACUUAGCUUUCUUUCCUUAGUGAUAACAAAUAACACGGGUGAUAAAAAACUUAAUCACUCACUUGUUUCAGCCACCGAAAGCCCUUCUCUUCAUUGAAUUUUCAAUUUCAUCGAGACUAAUUUCUCACUCAAACAUUGUCUUGCAUUCUCUAGAAACGUCCUACAAACAAAAAUGAAGAACAAAAAACUACAAUAAGGUCUAUGAAAAAGUUACAAAGGAAAAUCUCAAAAACUGAUAUGUAAGUCAUAACAACCUUAAGUCCUCUUAUCGUGGGUUAAAAUGCAUGUAAGGUUUUUCCAAGAGUCCGAGCAACUAGCAUGUAAAUAAGUUAAGUCAACUAAAUUUGCUAUAAAUUUACUCGUAUUAACAUUAUCAUUGUUAUAGACUUGACAACUUCAAAUUUAUCAAUAUAAAAUAUGCUUUAACAAAACGUACCUUGAGGUUCCUCCAACCUCAUUAAAAAAGCAAAUAAUCCAAAAAUUUAACAAAUUUAUAGUGCAUAUUAUGUAUAUCAAUUGAUCACAACAAAAUAAGAUCGAACAAAUACCCAUGAGUAAUAUUUAGCCACCAAAUGAAUAACGAUGAAAACCUGAAAACAAAACCGAGAAAAAAAAGGAAACAAUUCAUCAACAAAACAAAUUUAGCGGACUAUAAAAUUUCUUACCUUAUUACACACUUCAAAAUAUUAAGAAAAGUGGAGGGAAAAAACCAACCAAUAAUCAACAAAUAAACUUCAACACAAAUAGCCAUAAAUUUUCUUCUUUAAAGGUAUCACAAAUAAGUCCAUCAGUAAUAACAAAAUAAAAAAGGGCAAUGUGCAAUUGAAUUCUGAAGUCGUAAAGCUAUGCUAAAGGCAAUAUGAAAUCAAACUUGAGCACUAACAAGAAAAUUUGCAAAACAAAAAUUACUAGACAUCAUUAACUAAAGUACCAACACAACAAUGAAUGUGUAACCUCCGCAAGAGCAAACCCGAAUGGAGAAGAACAUGAAGAAAUAUAUAAAUAGAAGAAACAUAAAAGACAAACAUGAAACACAUGGAAAUAUACAAAGGGGAUAAAUAAAAGUACAAUUAUAAAGUGAUGAAGCACAAAUAUAGGUAUCAACAGAACCAGAAUACAAGUCUUACCCUAUCUCGACUGUCGAGGAGUGUUAACCAACCGUCAGAAGGUUGGUUUUAUUUUUUAAAAAAAAAUUAAUGUUGUCUGAAUUUUUUUCCAAAGCCACUAACCAGCCCCUCCUUAUCUAUGAUCGGCGAUCAACUCCUCAACAUCUAAUUACAUUUAAAAGAGUGAUGCAAACAUUGUGUGAAAUCCCAAACCUUUGAUGGAUCCCACCAUCACUCUCUUUCUAUCCCCUUCAAAACCUCAUUAUUUUCAAGAGAGGCCUCAAAGCUUCUUCCAAUUAACAUAAAAGAAGAAUGAAAGAGAAGAGAGAAAGGGAAAGUGGUUCAAAAGCUAUGGAAAAAAAAGUAAAAGAAAAUGGUCUACUCAUUAGCACAUCCUACACAGAUGAUAAUGUUAGGGCUAGGCAAUGAGAGACAGAAUGCUUUUGGAGCCUUCUCCUCUACUUUCGAAGAUUUUAACAAACUAAAAUAUGCAAAUGUUACAAGAAAGAUCUUUGGAGAUUUGAAAUAAUCCAAAAUAAAGAAAAAGGAAAACCCCAAUAUAUACAAAUUUCAGAAUCUAAAACUUGAAAAGUGAUCGAAUGAUGAGAUAUGUUUGUACAAUCAAUUAUAGAGACAGUGAAAUAUUAAAACAAAAAUGAAACGUAUCAAGAUAAAAAGAAUAGCAACUAGUAUUAUGACCUUUGUAUGUCUUCAAAAUACAAACAUCAAAAUGAAUCAAGAGAUCUACCACACACAAAUAAUGGUAUCAACACAAAUAAAGCAAUUGUUUUAGUAACAAUAUUUGAGUACAAUUAAACUAAGCAUGCUAUUGUCCUUGACAAAUUUACAUUCUUCUAAUCGAACAAAAUCUGACCUUUAAAUAGUGAUAGAAAUUGAAGAUGAAAGCAAGUUUAGCUACAACUUCAGACCAUGAUAUAUAUGACGAAACCUAUAAAAAAAAGAAGAGUACCUAACUAUAUUUACACAGAGGAGAUCUGAUGCUUACUAGCAUAUCAGAGGCUCAAUCGAUUUAAAUUUAAUUGAAAAACAAUCCCUAUAUUUUAAUGCAUACACAUUGAAUAGCCCCUGUUUCAAUCCAAUUUACAAAACUACCUCCAUAAAAUUACAUAAUGGGGGAAGUUCGACCGGAUGCACUGUGCUUUACCAGAACCACAUGAAAUUAUUGGAACAUAGUUCAUUCAAUUAACUUUCUUCAUUCUAAUUCAAAAUUGAAACAAAUGGAAAGAGGACAAUUGAAUAUUAAAUAAAGAUGGAAUUAAUUGGGAACUCACGGAGUAAUGCGAUUUGUUCGGGGGCUCACCACUGGAGUUGGAAGAGAGACAAGGAUUAGAAAGGAAAGGAAGAGGAGCGUCUGAUAAUCCAGCGGAUUCUUUGAUGAGUGGAGUACUAGUAGUAGUAGUGGAGGUUCCAAGGACAUUGAAGUCAAUCCGGUGAGAGUGAGGGAAUCAAGAAGGUUGAGGUUGAAGAGAGUAGAAAUUGCAACCAAUAUCGGUGACGAUGGUGGAAUCGAAAUUGCGAGGGAAGAAGAAAAGAGCAUCACAGGUCGAAGUAGAGGAGGAAUCAACACUGGAGAAAGGAGAAAGAUGAGGAGAACCUGCCAUUAAUGGAAGAGGGAGGAAGUGAGAGAGAAAGGAGGGAAUUAAUUAAUUAAAGAGAAUUAGGGUUUGAGAAGAGAAAGGGAAAAUGGAGUGUACGAACAAAGAAGAAGAAGAAGAAAUGGAAAGGACGCGCUAGAGAGAAGAAGAUGGAGAUGGAUCGGUGAAUAUCGGUAUGAUAGGGUUUCUUCCUUAAAGAAACGGAAAUUGAGAGAUAGGCCUUAGGGUAUUGAGAAGAGAAAGGAAAAAUGGAGUGUACGAAGAAAUGGAAAGGACGCACUAAGAGAAGAAGAUGGAGAUUGGAUCCGCGACUAAGAGAAGAAGAUUCAGAUGGAUCCGCGAAAUGGGUAUGAUAGGGUUUCUUCCUUACAGAAAGGGAAAUUGAGAGAUAGGCCAAAGAAGACAAGAGAGCAAAAGAGAAGGGGGGAGGAGAGGGAGGAGAGGGAGACUUGGCCGUUAGAGAAGAGGAGAAAGAAAUUUUAAAUGAGAGAGACUGUACAUGUAGGGUUUUUAUUAGAUUUUUUUUUUUUUUUUUGAAAUCUUGCUUAAUUGGAUUGAGAGAAUUUUGGUAUUCGCUUCAUCGACUUGUAUUAGCUGUCCAUUGGUCCAUUGUUUUGUCAUUUUUUUCAACAAACUAAAUGUUUUAAGCCAUUUACAAAUUAGAUUUCGAUAAAUCGAUAAUCAUAUUCUUUUACAAUAUAGGACUAAAAAAGAUAACUAUAUAUAUAUAUAUAUAAUCAUACAACAGUAUUUAGUUAAAUUACAAAAAAAAAUUCUUUUGAAUUUUUGUAGUUUGUGUUGAAAAAAAUAACCUUAAACUUUGAAAUGUUAAAAAAAAUUGUUUUGAACUUUUAAAAAUUAUUCAUAAAUACAUCUACAUACGUAGGAUGAAGGUAUUGGCAUGCUUCUCUAAAAAAACUUUCCAAAAAGAUGUUGUGUGACUUUUGAAAAGAAAAAUUACAAAUGGGGUCUUUUUUAAACAAAUUAGAUAUAUCGAGUUAUAUUUCUUUAAUUUUUUUCCUUUUUUCACAUAUUAUCAAUCACAUCUUACUUUUUUCUUUUUUCUUUGGAACCCUGCAAAAAUAACAAAAACAUUUAUAAUCACAUGACUCAUGUCACUACAUUUUCUAAAUUUUAAAAGUAGUAAAUUUAAAAGUUGAUAACCCUAUGAUUAUCGUUUGAUAGUCAUCUAAUAUCACUAAUUUUGUCAUAUUCGUAAUAUCCAAAUAAGGUUUCUUGGUGAGUCUAGAGUCAAACGUGAGGACUUAUACUAAAAAUAUAUUUAUAUUUUGAAAUUAUCUUAAGGUGAUUAAUAAUAUACACCUAAGAACAAUAGCGGUAUCAUCCACUUGUAAGGGGGGAGGGGAGUCAUCCACUAUAGAUAAGGUCCACUUGUCUCCCUCACCCAACUUCAUAAGGCUGCCAAAAGAGUUAGGCAUAAUCACAUCCACACGUUUACCCUUCUCUCGAACAUAAACCAACUCUCUUUUCUUCCUAAUAACGAGUAAUUUCAUCUCGAUUACCUACCUCCUUUUCCUUAAUAUGCCUAAUGGUGGAGCUAUUAGUCUUACUUUCCUCCAACUAUUUAAAGUCUAACACCACAUCAACAAGACACAAUUGUCCGUUCCUCCUCUUUGUUUGAAACCACCUUGCUCACAUCCUCCUCUCGAUGAACUUUGUUUUCCACAAUCUUAGGACACUUACCACUAGAAUGCCCAAAAGACCGGCACAAAUUACACCUUCGAGGCUUCCACUCAUAAUUCACAGCCAUAACGAAAUCCUCUCCCCUAAGGUGAAUUGUAAAUUCAGCAGGCAUAGGAGAGUCCACAUUUGAUUCAACACAUACUCAAGCAUGUGACAACCUUCGUCUUUCCUUAGUAGCUAGAUCAAAAGAUAGAGGUUUGCCUAUAACACUAGCCACAACAGUCAAUCUGACAUCUGUCCAUAACUCCAUUGGAAUCCUACCUAGUUUAAUCCAUAUAGGAACAUAAUAAAAAACAAAGGAUUUAGGGACAAUACCUGGAGUCCAUUUACGGAGGAGCAUACUUUUGCCAGCAAGAUGUCGCGAUCAACGAGAUAGGAUCCAUUCAACAAGUUUUGGGCAUCUGAAUUGGAAACAGAUGAGUCCGUUCUCAAGAAUUGUAAUCGUUGGCAUUUUAAUUUUAUCAACAAUAACAACGAGCUAAACAAAAUCCUCUAUCCAGGACGCACUAAUGAAAACUAAAAUGUAAAAUAAGUACGAAGUAAUUAAUUAAAACAAAAUACAAAAGAAACCCACAGUAAGUUGACAAAAUGCCCACAAUAAGCUUCAAGAUGAGUGAGAGGGAACACCAAGAGAAACAUGAAUAGCCUUGCUAACUUUUCACUACUAGCCAACUACAUAUUUUUUUACAAUACGUGUUAGGGAAAUCUUUCCCUUUGCAAAACAGACCAAUAUAUAAUCAAUCAUUGGCUCCUUAUGGGAAAAUACAGAAGCCCUAUACAUGUAUGUUUCAAGCCUGUGUUGAACAACUUUUAAUUCCCUAAGAUAAGGAGAUUUAUCUGAAGGUUCGAGAAUAAUGACAUGUCCUAAACUAACCCACCAUUUCGCAACAGUGAACCAGUUUGAUCGUUAGGGGACAACUUUUGAUAAUAAGUGCACAACCAUGCCCCAAUUCCAAUGUUGCCCAAAAGUAAAGGCCUUUCUUCACAAGGCUCCAUAAAAAAAAGUUCAACUUUCACAUAAAGAUCUUAUUUCUUUUUUAUUGCUCCAAGAGAUCUAAUAGAUCUAUUUUCACCACACAAAUCCCUUUUGUUAUCAUGGGAAAUGUGUUGGUUGUGCUCAAACCAAAUCUCUGCUAGCAACACUUUUAUCAAAUUAACCCAUAUUGUUUUUCUUAAAAAAAAAAAGGAUAUGAGUCUCACUAUUAUUAAUAUUGAAAAAUGAAGAGACAAAGUUCAAUGUCAUGAGGAUUAUACAAAGAGCAAUAGGAUGGAGGAUCAACAGACGCACCUGGACAUCUCAACUAGGUUGACACCCCCUUAGCGCCCUCAUCACAUCCAAAAAGCGACAACACAAGAUCAAAACCAAAAGCCACAAAUAGAAGGCUUUUUUUGUGUUUGUUUUGCCUUUGGACAUUACUCCUUUGUUAUCGGUUUUAGCUUGGUUGGAUAUGAUGAGGGUGCUAUGGGGGUGUCAACCUAGUUGAGAUGCCAAGGUGCACCCCCUGAUCCAUGGUUACAUGUUCCUUGUAUAACUCUCUUGUACUAUGAGCUUUUGUCUAAUUAUUAUUAUUAUUUUAAUAUUAAUAAAGAGGUUGUCUCCUUUUCAAAAAAAAAAAAAAAAAACAAAACAAAACAAAACAAAACAAAAGCCACAAAUAUAAAACCAAACAAAAUGAUAAAAUAAUAUGUCCAAAACAAAAUCAUAAAUCAUAGGUAGCAGGUCGAGAACAAAGAAGAAUAAGCCUUGAUUGAGCAAAAAAUCCCAACAAAUAUUGAAUGUUUGGAGAAGACGGAACCAACAUUUCGAUACAAAGACAUAGUCAAUUAAAAGGUGCUAAAUAUUUUUCAUGUUAUCAACACAAAUGGGGCAGACAUGAGGUGAGAGGACAUGGGAGGGAAGUUUUCUUUGAAGUACUAAAGCACAGUUUAAUUUUCCAAACAACGUAAUCCAUAUGGGGAUAUUUAUCCAAAGAGUGAGCUAAAUAGCCCAAUGAGUGAUUGUUUUAUAAAACAUCGUUUUGAAAUAACAAGUAUUUAACAAUUAACUCUUAACAUAAAUGAAAUCAAACUCAAACAACACUCAAAAGCAACCUAGAAUCGUCGAGACAAAAAACAAUAAACUAGGCAUAGAAGCCCUAUCCCGUGAUACGAUACUUACGAGAUGAAACUCUAGGCAUCAAUUGUGCCCUAUCUCGUUAUAACUACAAUGAGAUGGAAAACUAGGCAUUCGUACAGGCUCUCGUCCCUUGAGAUGGGAAACUAAGCAUCUUUAGAAGUCUUCAUCUCUUAUCUAAUACCAAUGAUGGAAAGCUAGGUAUUUACUGAAUAUCCAAAUCAAAUGACCUCUAUGCACAAGAAAAUCUCUCCCGAAGGGUUGCUAUAUAUCUUAGAAUAUUUUAGGUAUAGACUAAAACAUGCUAAUAUUAUUUUCAAGCUUAAACAUUUUGAAAACUUAGCACAAUCAUGAUUGCUUAUAAUUUUAAUUAGUAAAUUCAUCAAUAAAAACAUGUUUACCAAAAUGUUUCUAAAUUCAUGCUUUGGAAAUACAUUAUAAAUCAGUAUCCUCAAAUAUUCAAACAUCAAAGCAUGCUUGAAACAUUUGAUAGUAAAUUCAUGUUUAGAAAUCAACUUUAAACUCAUUUUUGUCACUUAUCGAGAGUAGCUUGGACCCUUGGCUUAUAAACUUGUUCUAUCUCCUUCAGAUCUAAAAUAUCAAAACUUUGCUUAAAAUUUCCAAAAACCACAAAAACAGCCCAAAGACAUUAGCUUGCGUACAAAAUAUUGUGGCAGAAGUUGGCAGGCGCGCGUAGGGCUUGCCUUGCCAUGUCUCAUUCUAACCUCAAGUGCAGCGUGUCACAAUCACAACUUUUCAAACACGGAACAGAGAAUUGUGCGGCACUUGUUGUAACUCGAUGAACACGUCAGUUGUAUAAAAUUCGAUAUGAUGUAGCCUCCCUACAGGUUUUAAGAGAAAUUGGUUUUAUUAAACAUGAGAGAGAAAGGAAAGCAUUGGAAACAUCGUUAAAAAAAACUUUGAAGAUUGUCCAUUGCAAAGAGAGCUUAAAUUGCAAAGAGUACCUCUGUGAUGAGAUUGGUUUGUGGAACCAAUUGGGAUGGGAAAAAGUUUAGAGAUAUUUGAGAGAAACUCUUUUCUUUUUGCAAAGAGCAAUAGCGUUAGCCUUAUUUUUUUCUUUUUUUAUUAAUUCAUUUUUUUAAGAAAAUUGUUUUCUUCUAGAUAUUAUAACUCUCUUUCCUUCUAGGAAUAGAAAAUGAAGUAGAAGAGAACCAUGAGAUUCUAUUAAUUUACAAAUAAUUAAAUUAAUAUAUAUAUUUCAAAUCUACUGAUUAAUUAAACAUUAAUCAAUUAGUUAAUAAUUAAUGAAAUCGAAUUUAAUUAAAUAAUAUUAAACUAAACUAUUAAUUAAUUCUCCAAUUAACUAACAACACUAAAUUAUUUAUCUUAUAUUUAACUUAAGUUAAAUUUGAAUCAUAUUCAAAUAUAAGUUUCUCUCAAUAAUUUUAAUAUGAAUCCAAUUCACAUUAAAUUAAUAUUUGAACUCAUUCAAAUAUUUUAUCUCUCAUAAAUUAAUUUUGAAUCAUCCCCAAAGUUAAAUUUAUAUAGUAAAGUUUGAUAAACUUUAUAUUAUAAUGUAUCACUAUACAUUAUACUAAUUCCCAAGUUAAAUUUAAACAUUUUAAAUUACAACCAAUAUAAAUAAAUCUCAUUACCCUUUACGAGCUAGGAAAGGGACCUAAUGGAUCUACAGAUCAAAAGCUACAACAAUCUAAGAUUAAUUGGCUAAACUCAUUAACCACAUUAAUCAAUAUUCGUUAGCUGUGUGUACACUCCAUUAAAGACUCACAACUGAACUCUUCUCACUAAAAAUAUAUGUCUGUGUCCACGGAUAUAGACCAAUAAUAGUAAGUUAGUCCUUCACGAGUGUUUGUAACACCAGUUGGAUCAAUUUACCGCUUUACCCCUAUGUUACCUCUAAUCCUUAAAAACCAGUGCUCCUCUAAUGAACAAUUUUUUUAUGGUCCUACUAAUAAACAAAAACCCCUCUCAUGUCAUAGAGAGGGUACGAACCCUUUGUCCAAGUUUUGAAGCCACCAUUUAAGCUAACAUUCAUCUACUUACCCUAAAGUAGGAAAUGAGUGAAUUCUAUUUUGUUUAAUUAUAAUCCCAACUCCCCACUCAGUCUUGUCCCCAAAAUCACUACUACAAAAAUAGGCUCUCUUGACGGUUGUAGUUUUCCUUUCUUGACGUUUUUUAAAUAAAAAAACGUCAAUAAUUUUUAUGAAAGGCCAAUUUUCAACUUUCUUGACGUUUAUUAAACACAUUCUCUGUUUGAAAAUGAGUAAACACGUUCACCGUCCUUCUGUCGCAUUCCACUUUCGCUAAACCUCUAUUCGUUUCCAAAUCCUUCAUGGUUACUCAUUCAUUUUCUUCCCUUUCUAAAGGUAAUAAUUUUCCUUUUUUCCUUUGUGAUUAAAAUUUGUAAUUUGUUAUUUAAAAUUGGAAUGCAAAAUUAAAGAAGAGGAAAUGUGCCUUAGAGAAUGGAAGAAAGGUUUUGCAUUUUAGGCUUGAAAAGGGGGGAUACAAGUUAUUAUAAUUGUAAUAUAUAAUAUUUUGAACAAGGCUACCAAGCGUGCAAAUAUGAUUCAUUGGUUAGUUUAGGGAUUGGAAAGAGAAGGAUUGUGGAGUUUGUGAUAAUAUUUUGGUACACUGGAGCUGGAAACAGAGAAUAUUAAAAAACACAUACUGUUAUACACAAUAUUAUAAUAAUACGAAUCACUAGCUUUUCUUCUUCGUUUUCUUUUUCUUCUCCUUGAAUUUUUGUUAUGGGUAUUGUAUUCCGUUUUGUGUUUUAGAUUGUGAAGUAUGGGGUAGCUAAACUCUUAAUCCUAGGGAUAGAUGUAGACAAAGUUUAUGAAUUAUUCUUUGUAAUGCAUCUGAUUAUUUGCUCUUCAUCUUUUCAUGUUUUUAUGUGAAUAACGUUCAUAAUAUCUUAAUCACAGAUUAAUUGUUGAUUGGCCAUGAACCUUAAUCUUUGCAUGACUAGAGUGGUUAUGAACUUGGAAAGAGAUAAUUAAGGAUCCUUGAGGAGGUUGUUGAAAGAAGUGGACCUAAAAACUUUUGUUUGUUAAUAAAAAGAAAAAUGAACAGAGAUUCAUCUUCGUCAGGGGUCUUGAUGUUUAAUUUAAUUUAAAUUGUGUAUGAAUUUUUAAUUACGAGCAUUUUAAUAUGUUGCGUUUUAAUCCUAGGGAUAGAUGUAGACAAAGAGCACUAUAGCCAAGGUAUAGAGUGAGGGAGAUAAGGUUUAUAUGUCUUAGAGAAUGGAAAGAUGGAAUUUGUGCUAAAAUCAUUAGUGUUCCAAAUACAAUUAUGAAUUGGGUAUAGUUGCAUUCCCCCUUCUAGAUUGCAUAGCACAUAAAUAUACUCUCAUGGAUUGCAUAGCACAUAAAUAUACUGUCAAAAACAAUAACAUAAAACACAAACUUGAUUUAGUUUCAUUCACACUUGUACACCAACAUGUUUCAAGUAAUGAUCAUAUAUUAAAAAUCAUUUUCAAAUUUGGUAAUAUAAAAUGGAAGAAGUGAGACCUUGAGGUUUUGACCACCAAUACUAUCUAACUGAUGAGUUUAUGAUUUUUGUUUCUAUUGUGUUCUUUCCUUAAGCUUUAACUUGUUUUAGGGGCAAGAUGGUGAAGGUCUAGUCCACAACCUUUCCCAAGAAUUUAAUGAUGUUUGGGUUGACCCAAUUAUUGUUAUUGGACACCGUUUUAUGGUAAUUGGUUGUUAUGGUUUUUAAGUGUGUUUUGAUAUCUUGUGUUAAAAAAUAAUUGCAAAAAGUCGGAAAAGUUUGUUAAAGAUUAGGUGUUUUUAAGUUUGUCAUUCCACUUUAAUUCUCACCAGUACUUGCUGAAUGGAAGCCUCUUGUCUAAGACAAUUCGAGUGGAAUAACUCUCGUGACUACCACAACAUUUGGGAACUCACCAAAUGUAAGACUAUUCCUUUAUCCUAGCAUUUGAUCUCUCUCUAUAAUUUGGUUUGCUAUCGUAAGUUUCAUUAAAAUAAAUGCUGAUAAUUCAACUCCAAUGUUCUUAUUUUCUUAACUCCCAUUCAGUCAGUUAGAAUCAGAACUCAUUUAUUUAUCUUGUCUCCAUAAUUUGGAUUCAAAGAUUCAUCACAAUAAUCUUCUCAACAACAUUCUUGAAAAGGUAUUGAAUUUUCAACUGUGUGACCUUUAUACACAAAUUUCUUCAAAGAAAUUUACAUUCUUUAGAGUUUAGAGCUUUGAAUUCUAGUACAACUUAUGAAGCUUUUGAUACUUGUUAGACUUUUUUGCUUGGUGCGGAUAAAACCUUAUUUACAUUCUUUCUUUCCUGCAUGUUCUCUUUUGAUAUUUGUUAGACUUUUUUGCUUGGUUGUCCUUAGUGUUUUCCUCUUUAGCUGAAAUUUCUCUAUCUUGAAAAAAAUAGAGCUUUAAAAUUCAACUUCAACUUUAUUUGAUACUAUCUUAGUCCAUACUUAUUUUGGUAUUUCUUUCCUUUCUCACAAACACAUCUAAGAGGUUGCCUUCACAAUAUGGCCAAAUUAACAAUAUGGCAACCUUUUUCAUUGCAAAACAUAUUAGAGGUUGGUUACUUAGUUAGCCUUAUUGGGUAAAUAAUUGACAUUUAGGUACUUUUUAGUUUGUAUAUUUAUAGAUGCCAAAUCGAUAUGUGAAUUUUAAUUGUUGCUUAUUUGAAACAUUGCAACCAUUUGAUAAAAUGUUGCUAUGUGAAUCCAUCUUAACUUGAUAUAUUAUUUUAUUUUGGUUUAGGUUGUGGAAUCCAAGUUUGUAUUUGAAGUCAAAUUCAUCCAAGAUCAUUGAGUUUCAAAGCUUCUUUAAUUAAGAUUUUGUUUCUUGAACUAGCAUUGUAGUCUUGUGAUUUUUGGAAUAGCAUAGUUGGAUUGGUUUUGUAAUUUUGGUUUUGUAGAUUCAUCCAAGAUCACUGAAGUAGUGUUUUGUAUAUGACAAUAUCAAACAAACAUGUAAAGUUUUCGAAAUGUUCAUACAUAUAUGAUUAAAUGUUAAUAUAUGUUAAAGUUUUGGAAUUGUACUCGUGCAUAUUUAUGAGAUUGUAUGGCCACACUACAGGAAUUAUAGAGACAAUACAGGAACAAAAAUAUAAAUAAAUUAUAAUUUAGAAAAAAAAUGAAACAAGCUUGACGUUUUUUAAAUGUCAUAAACAAAUACAUUCUUGACGGUUUUUCAAUGUCAUUAACAAGUAAAUUCUUGAUGUUUUUUAAACGUCAUAAACAAUUGUGUUCUUGACCGUUUUUAAAUGUCAUAAAUUACAUUCUUGAUAGUUUUUAAAUGUCAUGAAUACUCAUUCACUUGACGAUUUUUAACUGUCAUGAAUAUUUGUAUACUUGACGUUUAUAAAACUAUUAAGAAUCGCUAUUCUUGACGUUUUAUUAACCGUCAAGAACUUUGACUUUCUUGACGCUGGCUUCAACGACGAUUUUAAAACCGUCAAGAAUAGUGAUUCUUGACAGUUUAAAAACGUCAAGAGAAUCUGUUUUUGUAGUAGUGAAUGAUAAGCUUAUUGAGUCGGCGAUCUAGCCACUCUCACUCGUACAAAUCAAAGGACAAUCUCUCGUGAACAAGAGUUCAUAAUACACUCAAGAUUAAGACUAAGUUAUCUAGGUCAUCCUAGUGAAAUAAAAACCUAACUAGUUAAUGUAGUAACACCAAGUGGUUACUAUUUCACGAUCUGGUCUAUUGCAAUCUCAUUGCAUAGGAUACCUUCACUCGCAUGUCAACUACAUGAACACAUUGGAUCAUUGUAUUUGUAUCAAAUACAAAGUGAGUCGUAUUCAUAAUGUUACCAUGAUAAAGGUACCCAGUCUUAUCCCUAUACUAUAGACCCUUUAAGCUGAUCUCGAACAUUGAUCCCUGUAUGUCUCUACAUACUAUUCAAUACUUAUUAAACAGUUUAGGAUGUUAGUUUAUUGGAUUUGAGUUACAAAACUAAUAAUAUAAUCAAUAACAAAUAUUACAAUAAUAACACUUUAUUAACAAUGGUCAAUGGAUUAUAUUUACAAUCUACGAGUUUUAGGACAUAAAUUCCAACAAACUCCCACUUGGACUAAAACUCUAGUCUCUUUGGGAUGUUCAUAAUAAAGUAAUCAUCUAACAUUAAAAAUGGUAAAAUGUACAAGUGUAUUACAUAAAAUGUGUAUAUACAAAUACAAUAAACUAGGGCAUCCUCAUACCCAUUACACAUCUGCCACUUUUCCUAGAUUACCAAAUGUACAUAACUCGCAGAUUUAGACUUUCUAGAAGACCCUCGAACACUUUAGCCAUGAGAGUCUUUGUAAAUGGAUUAGUAAUAUGCCCCACUAUUAUCACAAUAUAAAGUGAUGGGGCAUGUUCAUGUUUGGAACAACUUCCAAAUUAUGCAAGAACUUCCUUAGCAAAACUGCUUCUUUUGCUGCUUCACAAGUAGCAAUAUACUCAACUUUCAUAAUAGAGUGUGUAAUGAUGCGUGGCUCAGGCUGCUUGAUCAUGCCAGGACAUGCUUCUUGCAUGUCCCAAGCCUAAAUAACCUCUUUCGCUCAAACACACGCUCAUCUCACCUUGUCAUUCUGGCAAUCAACCCACCCUUGGCCUUGCCUAGAAAUAUGAUUUUUCUACCAGAAACUUAACUCGACUUUGAAGCUUAAAUCAAUAAGAUUCCUUCUACAAACUUACUUAGAAUGUCUUCACUAGCUUACCACAAAGUGUCACUACCAAAUUCCAAGUAUUGAGUUAUGUAGCUCCAAAAUACUCUAUAUUGUUCAAGUUUUUUUUUUUUUUUUUUCUGAAAAUGACCUUUGAGUCUUUCUUCACUUCAAUGCCUUUCUUCCUGGUAGCCUUUCUCCUGAUACUACACUCAAUUUAGGAGAUUUUUGAAGUAGAGUUACCCAAUUAACACAAGUUGAUUGUUAACAUAAUUCAUCCAAAGUUGUACAUAUAGUGAUCCUUGCAUGCUCUUUGGUUGACACUUUUAUUCUCACCUCUUACGCCUAUACUUGCCACUUUCCACCUCAUGCAAGACACUUAUUUGGCAAAACUUAGGUAUCUUGUAUGUUGUCCACUUGUACUCUACCGCACAUCUUACCUCAUAUUGCUUAAGUCAUCCUUGGAUGCAUAUCCCUUUUUCUAUGAGGGUUCUUUAGUAAAUUCUUACUGCCAAGAUUGCCUAAGACUUUUUUUUCUCGCCUAAUCUCCCAAACAUCCCUCAAUGCCUUCAACAAACCAUGCCAUUCUGACUAGCAUUUGGUUGAAUUGCCCCAUUGGCUGCAUGGCCUAUGUCCACAUAGCCCACCUCUUUGUUGCAUGACAUUCCUUAUCCACGUUUUAACUUCUUUAGAGUUUCUUGACAUUUCUUAGAUGCUUAGCUUCCUUGCCUAGCACAUACCCUUGGUCAUAUAGCCUUGUCUUAUAGAGGUUGUCUUGACACCUUUCGGCCAUACCACAUCUCAACCUUUGGCCACCCAACAUGUCUCUUUAGAGGUUCGCUUGACACUUUUGGCCGCCUAGAGUAUGCAACAUGCCCUAGCCAACACUUAGCCAUAUUUCAAACACCCUUUAGGCCUUUCUUUGUUACGAUGACACUUUUCUUUUGUCAUCUUAAAAAUAUUAACACAUCUUCCAUAACACUUCAACUAAACUAUUUAAUCUUAAACCAUCUUUCUCCUAACAUCAACCCCUAAUGUCCUAUUGAGUUCUUUAGAUGAAUUAAGGAUUAUUGAGUAUCGGGGUUUACACGCGAGAUGUAAGUCUUCCUCCUUGGAAUUACGUAUAGUAGUGUGCGGAGGGAGAGGAAUGUGAUGCAGGUCUUCCUCCUCAACCCUAAGGAAUUUUUCUUCGCUAACAAUGCCCUUUUGAUUGGGUAAGGGCUUGUUCGGUCAGGUCGUGAGGUGAAGGAUGUUGUUAUAAUGAUGGGGGAUUUGGUGGUGAGUGGAUAAUAGACAUGCGAGAGGACUUGAGUAAGAUUGAUGAGGGGGAGGUUCAAUUUUUGGAUGAGGACUGGAAUUGAAGGAUUUGGAUUUUGGAGGAGGCGAUGAGAGAGUUAAGGGUCGGAUUGCAAGAGCUUUAGGGUCGAUGACCAAGAUGUUUAUUAAUAACAUGUGUUUGAUACAUAAUUACAACACUUUGACCAAACAACCAAUGCUUAACUAUUUUCAAAACGUCUGGUCAUCUCGCUGCAAAUCCUUCAACCUUCUUCUCUACUUGGCCUAAACACCUCAUCUUGGAAGAUGAAUUUUUGAAAGAAUGUCUAAAAGACUAAGGUUUUAUGAAAUCCUUUUCGCAAUACCUUUUCAUAAACAUCAUUUCACAUAAACAACAUCAAAUAAUUUUAUCUCGCAUAAACCUUUCUUUAUCCUUAACAUACUCAUAACAUAACAAUUUCACAUAAACACACAUUAGUUAACAUUCAUUCCUUUCACCAAAGAUUUUGAAUUGUUCUCUACACUUUGAUGUAGAACAUCUCCCUUCUUGAUGUUUCUUGAGUUUUAUCCUAGAGGAGGGUUUGAAUUACCAUUUUUGUAGUUUAGGAUUAGUUAUUUGAAUUACCAAUUUUGUAUCUUGAGUUAGUUAUAACUAACUCAACUCCAAGUUAAACUAACUCAACCCCAAGUUAGUUUAACAACUCUUGUAAUCUCCAGCCUAUAAAAAAGCUUCUCAUUUUCAUUAAUAAGACAUAAAAAAAAGAGGCAUUAUACAUAAAGAUUUCUAGCUUUGCAAUUACUGCAUCAAUUGGUAUCAGAGCAUGAUCCUAGCUCACUCUUCCCUAAAAAAACUUGGAUCCUACCACUCUUAUCCAUGGACGCGGAAGCCUCCUUCAACCAACGCUUGCAGUUGGUAGAACAAGCUAUUGAAGAACUUCGAAAAGGGCAGUCGGAUAUACAAUAAUCGUUAGUAGAAUUAACAAACCUUUUUACCCGAUUUCAUGUCCAACCUUUAGAAGAAGCAAUUUAGCCCCCAAGAAACCCAAUUGCAGGAAACCAAGAAAGACAAGAAAGACCAAUAAACUCUGUUGUAAACCAAGAACUACUAAGAAAUCAACCUAUUCACAUCCACAAUAAUCGAUUGUAUGGAAACAACGUACCUGGAAAUUUCUUAAGCGAUUCUGACUCUUCCGAUGAAGACAACUUGCUGAACAUUCAUCAAGAACCUCAACAAAGGCUUGGACUUCGACCAUACUUUCAAGAAGAUCAAGAAAUACGUAUGAAAGUGGAUCUCCCUACCUUCAAUGGUCGAAUUGACGUGGAGAAGUUUCUUGAUUGGAUCAAGAACGUAGAAAAUUUUUUCGACUAUGCCAAUACACCCAAACACAAGAAGGUUCGAUUAGUUGCUCUCAAACUUUAAGGUGGCGCAAGCGCUUGGUGGGAUCAAUUACAAAACAAUAGACGAUUAUUCGGUAAACAAUCUAAAGAUUAGCUGAAUAUCUUAUAAAAAGAUGUUGCCGUAGGCUUAGUGGUGACAGGUGAGAAAGUAAGCUGUGUCUUUUAUGACUCUUAAACGUUGAAGUCAAUCAAUGAGUUCCAAAUGCAAUAUUGGAAGUUUUCUUAAAUAUUUUGAUGCUUUUGCAUGUUAUGAAAGAACUUGGUUAGAUGUGAGAAAGGGGUUUAUGAGAUUAGUUACUUACUAUUCCCUUUUUCACUGUCAUUGCUACUCAGUAGACAUGCUAUGGGCUCGUGUUUCUGUAGAAUAUAAUUCAGAUGCUCUUUCUCUAGAUUAUAAUUUAUAUGUUCUCUCUACAAAUUUGAAGUAAUUUCUACUGCUUUUGCUAAUAUUCUCUAUAGCUUAUUCAAAAUGUAGUUGUUUAAUAACUGUUCAGAUUUAAAAUAUAUUAUAGAGUUAAAUUUAACACAGUUAAUCAGCUUAAGCAUUUGACUCUGGUGUUCUUAAGAUAUAAAUUCAAAUCCCUAUAAUUUUAUCAUGUGGAUCUUUUCAAUCUUCUCACAUACUGUCUUCAUUUCAUAAUCUUGCCUACUAGCUGCGUAUCAUCAAUGAAAUUACCAUAGGAGUCCACAUGUGGUAAUUAUGGAUCUAGCACGAUAUACUGCGUAUCAUGUUGUUGGAGACCAUUUUAAAUGAUUAACCAGUCUAUUGGUGGUUUGAGUCUUUCCUUUUGAAUCUAUAGGUUGUUCAAUGGUCUAAUAUUAACUGUGUUUAGAUUUAUGGUAAUUUUCAUUCUUUUACAGCCUUAAUAACCAAGAAAAGGUGUGCUUUUAUAAUCUUUUCUUUCUCUUCGGCAGGUUGGUAAUGUAGAAAGGAUACAUGUAUACUAUGCCCAUGGACUAGAUAGCCAAACCUUUGUUCGCCGAUGUUAUUGGCUCCUAGAUAAGUAUGUUAUGGUUGAAAGAAAAUUGUUAAAUUUCUUGCUACCAGUUGUUUCAGUGGGGUCUAUCCCCAUCAUGCCACAAGCAAAGAAAAAUGAAAUUAAACAGUGGAAGUAUAUCGUGUUCUACUUAUAUAAUUUAUGACUUGCUUCUGCUUUUUGUUCAGGACCUUUGAACACAUUGUCCUUGUUUAUUACCGUGAAACACAAGAGGUUAGGUUCAGCACAAUGCAUCUGCAGUUACUAAAAUAUUAUCUUGAGACAAACUUUUAUCAUUGGACUACUACAUCUAUUUAAGAUUUGCUAAUUUUUCCUCCAUGGUUGCAAUAUUAGAACUUCAUCCAAAAUAAUGUUGUCAUGUGUGUCUUUAAAUUUUUACUGGCAGUCUGGCACCAUAUAGAUCUAGUAGUUGUGCAUGCAUGUCUUCCUCUCUAUCCUCCAUUGAAAAACUCGAUAAUUAUCUGUUUGUGUUUUAUUUUGAUGAUUUAAUCCAACAUUUAUUAUGGAUAAAGUCAGCCAUAAAAUACAUAUGUUUACUACUGCUCUUUGUACAUUUUAAAUACUAGAUUUCUUGAUGAUUGUUGUCUUUAAGUUGCUCUUAAUGUUGUUGCAUAUCGAGAAAUGCACUGUAAUUUCUGUACCAAUUUUAUCACUGCUUUUAACUAAAUCUUCAAAAAUCAAGGCACCACCUGGAUGUAGAGUGCUAUAUGGUGAUUCAAGUGUUGAGAGUUCUCUUUCUUCUGCUAUCCAUAAAUUUAUGGAAUGGAAAGGCAAUGAUCAUGACACUAUUUUUUGUCAGAUAAACACAGGUUUCAUAUGCUUCAACUCUGUGGUGCUUCACAGCACACGGAUAAAACUUCCAAACAUUCUGCACCCAAUAUUACCAUAAUGCAUUUGGACAUUUCAUUAACAACUUCUUACAAUUAGCCUUUCUAUAUUGAAAAUAAUUCGUUGUCUUAACUUCCUGUUGCUCCUAGUUUCAGAAUUUUCCAUCCACAUCGUUGAACUCAAAUUCUGGUUCUGUCUCUAACCCAUCAACUCCGUGGCUUUUAUCGGAGGAACUUGAUUCCAAGGCUACUCAUGUUUAUUCUCUUGGUGAAAAUGAAUUGUCAGGUGAUACUGGCCGAACCUGUCAAAAAUAA